UUAUAAUUUUCUUGCUUGCUUAGCAAUCAACAUCAAGUCCACUGACAAGUCCAAAGCAAGCACAGGAAAUGCCGUCCUGCAGAGGUAAAGGUUAAGGCCAACAUUUCCGAGAACUGAGACAGGAGUGUGCAGAAGAGAAGAGCCCCAAUCCAAUCACUCAGUCUUCCUUGUAGCUGUUCCCAUGUUCUAAGCGUGAGUUCGAUGUCCUGUCUGCCGCCAAGGAUUUUUUAAAUUAUAAGGGUAUUUCAUUUGAAGGCACCAUAUGACCUUUCACUCCCAUGUACUGAAUCUAAUUCCCAGACUGGAAGCUUCCCCAUUUCUGCCAUAAAAAGUGAACAGGUUACUCCUGGCUGCUUAAAUUUCAUGCCUGAAAUAUCCCGGAUAAGCUGCUUGGAACGAGCCAAACAUUACAAUGAAAAUGGGAUCUGGCAUCCUUUCCUGAUUAAUGGCAGGGCUGGAUUCUGUCAGUGUUCAACGACAUGAAAUUCCAAGGCCUGGAACCAAAUGUCCAUGCUUUCCAAGGACCCCAAAAGUACACCCACUACCCCACUCCCAGACAAGGCAAGGAAGGAAGGAGGGGUUGCAAUGACAUCUCCGAGCCACCAGAGAGCAUAUCUUCAUCUGGGUUCAGAACAUUUUACAAAACAGGGGGAAAAGGGGGGAAAAGAUAUCCCUUCCUGCUUCAAUCAAACAAUCCUUGGAUUUCAGACUUUCCAGAAAUAUUAAAUUUCUAAACCACUGUAUUUCUUAUUUCAUCACUGUAUUUUUCAUUUAAACGUUUUUAGAAAAUGACAAAAUAUUGUUUUGC
rnacentral:lncRNA from 10 species